AGCGAACGCUGGCGGCAGGCCUAACACAUGCAAGUCGAACGAAGUCUUCGGACUUAGUGGCGGACGGGUGAGUAACACGUGGGAACGUGCCUUUAGGUUCGGAAUAACUCAGGGAAACUUGUGCUGAUGCCGAAUGUGCCCUUCGGGGGAAAGAUUUAUCGCCUUUAGAGCGGCCCGCGUCUGAUUAGCUAGUUGGUGAGGUAAAGGCUCUCCACGGCGACGAUCAGUAGCUGGUCUGAGAGGAUGAUCAGCCACAUUGGGACUGAGACCCGGCCCAAACUCCUACGGGAGGCAGCAGUGGGGAAUCUUGCGCAAUGGGCGAAAGCCUGACGCAGCCAUGCCGCGUGAAUGAUGAAGGUCUUAGGAUCGUAAAAUUCUUUCACCGGGGACGAUAAUGACGGUACCCGGAGAAGAAGCCCCGGCUAACUUCGUGCCAGCCGCCGCGGUAA
rnacentral:rRNA from 1 species